rnacentral:lncRNA from 1 species
ACAUGCAAACCAAAUCGUGUUUGCACGUACUAGAAAUUGCAGAAAUUUCAAGAAUCAAAAGGGGGACAAACUUAUCGGUUCUAAAACAAGAAAUCAAUCGGUGGAAUGGAAGCUCGUGAUGCCAUGAUCACUCAGGUGUCCUUGAUUGUUGAACAGAUGAACAAGGAUUGAAGAAAUUUUGAAGAGAAUUUGUAGAGAAAAUGAGGAGAAAACAGAAUAUCAGAAUGUUGGAGAGAGGAGUGCAUGUAGAGAAUGAAACGAAAUUUUGAAACUUUCGUUUAUAUACUAUUGUGAAAACUGAACGGUCCAAUCCUGUGCAUACACUUGUCAUCUCCAAUUUCUUUAAUUUUCUCAGGUCUUACAAUACCACUACAAGAAAUAAUGGAAUUACAUACGAAACAUUAUAUACGGAUUUAGAGCCGUGUGUAAAUAAAGUAUUAUAUACGGAAAUUAUGUACAGAUGUUAGAAAAAGGUGUU